CCCACCCACUCCUUACAUGUCCAAAUCGAGUAAGGUUUCUUGUUCUUUUUUAAAUUUUCUUCUCUAUCCUCUCAAUUGUUAAUUUUUCUUCCCUGCCAAUACCUUACAACCUCAAAAUUGACUUUUGUUGUUAUCCGGUGAUGCCUAAUCUAUGGAUUUUGGCUGGUGUUCAAUGAUUUUAGUACUGCUGGUGAAAAAUAUGCAAGAUCCA
rnacentral:misc_RNA from 1 species